AAAAACUAUUACAACUGUAUGAAUAAAGCUUCGUGUCAAAUGUAUUUUCUUAAAAGCUUGAGCUACUGGAACCCAUGGAAGAGGUUGUGGUGUCUUCCUACUUAUUCUGGAUUCAUUUUUGAAUGCUAGUUACGACACUCAUUUAUGUAUAUUUUACAAAUGGUGCAAGUGUUCAGGUGAGAGGAGCCAAGGUCAGAACCACUCUGAAGUCUGAACUAAGUAUGUGCAUAGACAAAAUGCAAAAAGGAAGAAAGAAACUUCCCUGAAUGUACUAAAAAAGCAAUCUCUAAAAUUUAAUGCCCAGCCACUUCGAAUUGCAGCACUCUCGGCACCACGCCCAGCACGCCGGAGAGACGCACGCCAAACCUAGCCGUCGUCGGACAUCGUAUGCCCGUUGGGUUGAUGUUGCUGCAUGGAACGCUCCAUUUGUAGCUUGAACUGCUGAAAAGAAGCACCAUCAGCUAGCUACAACAGAGGUGAAGAAGUAGCAGCAGAGGCUGUUCGGUAAGUGGUGUACUGACAGAGAAAUUGAUACGCCAGCCUAAGAAACUUAACUCAAGUUUGUACAUCCUGGGUUUUUUUCAAAGCCUCCUUGUUUGUAAGGUGUAG
rnacentral:lncRNA from 1 species